rnacentral:sRNA from 1 species
AGUUGACAGAUAGUGUACUUCGCAAGAAAAAAUUGUACUCAGCUGUUUGCGGUGUUUAUACCAUGUUUCCAUUAAAGGGCAAAACAAGAUUUGCUACGAAAUUUCGCAAUCCUCGAGGUUUGCUACGAGGUUUCCCAUACAUUUUUGGUUCGAGAUAAUCUCUUCAAGUGGCGAGGUUUGCUCAAGAUUGUGUUCGAAAAAUUGGGCAACGCAAAUUGACAUGCUACGUGGUGCAAAAAAAAUUAACAUGUGUACGAAGAAAUAGAAAAGGAGUUGGAGGAGCUUCAAGGAAUUGUAGUAACCAUCCAGGAAAUUAACACAAAGUUGCACAAUUUAACAAAGUAACAAUGAGAAAAAGAAUAUUGGCUCAUCUGGAGGAUCACCAUCAUCAUGGCCAUUGUACCAAAAAGUACAUGACGUACUUGGCCCUUUUCGGAAAUAUAAUCUUGAGGAUGUUGUCUAAGACACCAUAUCAGGUUUGUAAAAUAGGACAUUAGACCUGACCAAUUCCGCGCCAAUUAUGCCUCUCAUAAGUUGUCUACAUUGAGUGCAACAAAACUUAUUCAAGAAGCAAUCCAAAUAAAUAACUAUUGUACUACCCUUUUC